UUUUCCAUUCCUGCCUGACCCCCGUGUGCCCACAUCAUGGGCACCACGGUUCCUGUAGGACAGCUGGGGAAACUGAGACCCAGCGAGAAGAGGCUCUUUGUGGAAAAUCCCACAGCAAAUCGUUGGCAGAGGGAGGCCAGACCCUGCGAAGGAGAUCCUGCCCAGAGGCUCCAGGGCCAAGACCCACCAGAAACUCCUCCUCCGUUGUAAGAAGGGGUCCAAGGACCCCUCUGGAGCUGAAACUGUCUCAGGACCCCAAAGACCAUCCAUGUGCCCAUUUCCCAGCUGGUAGUUGUAUGCAUUAUAUAUAUCAGCUCAGCCUCCAUCAAACUGCCAGGCAGCUCCCAUGAGUGUCUUGCAGGCACUAGGGAGCCAUGGAAGGUGUUUGAGCAAGAGAGGGAGAGUACCAGGAGAGUGAGACUGCUCAGGAAUCCCACACCACUGGAUGGUUCUCCGGUGCCAGAGGGGCCUGACUGAUG